rnacentral:rRNA from 1 species
AACGUCGGACGCAAGCGUUCUCCGGAGUUACUGGGCGUCAAGCGUGCGCAGGCGGCUCCUUAAGUCAGAUGUGAAAUCCCCGGGCUUAACCUGGGAACUGCGUUUGAAACUGGGGAGCUGGAGUGUAGAAGAGGGGGGUGGAAUUCCAGGUGUAGCAGUGAAAUGCGUAGAGAUCUGGAGGAACACCGAUGGCGAAGGCAGCCCCCUGGGCUAACACUGACGCUCAUGCACGAAAGCGUGGGGAGCAAACAGG